rnacentral:tRNA from 1 species
GGGGCUAUAGCGCAGCUGGUAGCGCGCUUGCAUGGCAUGCAAGAGGUCACGAGUUCGAAUCUCGUUAGCUCCACCA